ACAAUAACAUCGGGAUCGAAGUCGGGCUCGAUGAACAAUUAAUUAAAACAACACUCUGAAAUUCAAAAAUAUCGAAUGCCAUGUUGAUGUUUCAGAGAAGGAAAGUUGGAAAGAGGGUGUCUAGAACAGGGGAAUCAUGAUUAGCGUUGGAUGGAAGAAGAUAAAGACAUUUUAAGUCCCAUUGCUGCAUUGUGCCUGAGAUGAUCUUCACAGCGAUGGCAUUUGGUAACUUGGACAAGUUGGUGGAUGUAGAUGCUUAGCCAAUCAGUGACUAGGCUUGUGAAUAUGGAAUCCGGAUGCUCACAAGGACAAGAGCUGUAUGAAAAAAAACCCCAACAG